GAUGAACGCUGGCGGCGUGCCUAAUACAUGCAAGUCGAGCGAACGGACGAGAAGCUCGCUUCUCUGAUGUUAGCGGCGGACGGGUGAGUAACACGUGGAUAACCUACCUAUAAGACUGGGAUAACUUCGGGAAACCGGAGCUAAUACCGGAUGAUAUUUUGAACCGCAUGGUUCAAAAGUGAAAGACGGUCUUGCUGUCACUUAUAGAUGGAUCCGCGCUGCAUUAGCUAGUUGGUAAGGUAACGGCUUACCAAGGCAACGAUGCAUAGCCGACCUGAGAGGGUGAUCGGCCACACUGGAACUGAGACACGGUCCAGACUCCUACGGGAGGCAGCAGUAGGGAAUCUUCCGCAAUGGGCGAAAGCCUGACGGAGCAACGCCGCGUGAGUGAUGAAGGUCUUCGGAUCGUAAAACUCUGUUAUUAGGGAAGAACAUAUGUGUAAGUAACUGUGCACAUCUUGACGGUACCUAAUCAGAAAGCCACGGCUAACUACGUG
rnacentral:rRNA from 1 species